UACAGAGGGUGCAAGCGUUAAUCGGAAUUAUUGGGCGUAAAGGGCUUGUAGGUUGUUCUAUAAGUUAGAUGUGAAAGCCCUAGGCUCAACCUGGGAAGUGCAUUCGAAACUGACGGACUUGAAUAUGGAAGAGGGUCGCGGAAUUCCCGGUGUAGAGGUGAAAUUCGUAGAUAUCGGGAGGAACACCAGUGGCGAAGGCGGCGACCUGGGCCAAUAUUGACGCUGAGGUGCGAAAGCGUGGGGAGCAAACAGG
rnacentral:rRNA from 1 species